AAGUCGUAACAAGGUCUCCGUAGGUGAACCUGCGGAGGGAUCAUUACUGAGUUACACUCAAACCCUGUUUAAGAAUCUGUUGCUUCGGAGGCGCCCCUCGGGAGGGGAUCUGCUUCGGCCGCCUCCAAAAGCACCUUUACUCUUAACUUCGAUUCAUUUAUAUUCAAUUCCAAAAAAAAUCAAAACCUCAACAACGGAUCUCUUGGUUACG
rnacentral:misc_RNA from 1 species